rnacentral:lncRNA from 1 species
CUGAUAAAAAUGCCUUUCUAAGAAUAACACUUUGAUGUUUUUGGCUCUCAGCCACAGGAUCACCUCGCUGAACCACUUUGCUUUUGAUACCUGUGUUAAGACCCAUGUGACUGGUUUAGGUAUCACUGAAAAGGAAGACCACCGUUUAUUGCACCAGCAAUACUGUUUUGAGAACGUCAGACUGCGUUAUCAGAGGGAUGAGGGAUUUCUCACCUAGAUACAGACAGACCUGUGAGCUGUUGUUUAUCUAACAGGAGUCAAAGUAGGCUUCUAAGCCUCAAACAGUGCCUAAAGCCUGAUGCUGUCUCUCAGAAGAGCGUAACUUCCUUACUGUUUGGAGGAGGAGAGAGGAAGGGAUCAGUCCUCCCUCUUUUCCUGAGACAUGUAUUUUGUUUUCAAGAUUCAUCAGAAAGAUCCCGAACACUCUGGAGUCAUCUCAUGUCUCGUCUCUGGCUUCAGCAGUCUUUCAUGCAAGUGCUGAAGUGUCCUGCCCAGUUGAUUGUCAGUGACUACUGCAAGCUCACGCUAUCUCCAGUACUGUUACGAGUGCCUCCUGAAUCCUGGAUAAGACUUUCGGAUCUGUCUCGCUUUUGUGGGGAGAAUCAGGCACCUAAGACCUGGAGUCCAAAGCCAGCAUGUGCAGAGAGCUAUUUAAAGUAGCCAUUUGGAAAUAUGACAGAUCAGGUAUGUCUUAAAUAAAUAACACCUCCUCCUGUGGACUUAAACGAGG